UCUCCGUAGGUGAACCUGCGGAGGGAUCAUUACUGAGUGAGGGCUUCGGUCCGACCUCCAACCCUUUGUGAACCAAACUUGUUGCUUCGGGGGCGACCCUGCCGCUUCGGCGGUGCGGCGCCCCCGGAGGCCAUUAAACACUGCAUCAUUGCGUCGGAGUUAAAGUAAAUUAAUCAAAACUUUCACCAACGGAUCUUUUGGUUUCAGCAUCGAUGAAGAACGCGGC
rnacentral:misc_RNA from 1 species